rnacentral:rRNA from 1 species
UACAGAGGUCUCAAGCGUUGUUCGGAUUCAUUGGGCGUAAAGGGUGCGUAGGUGGCGCUGUAAGUCGGGUGUAAAAUUUCGGAGCUUAACUCCGAAACUGCAUUCGAUACUGCGGUGCUUGAGGACUGGAGAGGAGACUGGAAUUUAUGGUGUAGCAGUGAAAUGCGUAGAGAUCAUAAGGAAGACCAGUGGCGAAGGCGGGUCUCUGGACAGUUACUGACACUGAGGCACGAAGGCCAGGGGAGCAAACGGG